rnacentral:piRNA from 1 species
CGAGAAGUCCGUGAGUUUAUGUUAAGGAA